GGGCCGGUAGCUCAGCGUGGGAGAGCGCCCGCUUAGGCGCCAGUGAGCGCCGCGGCACGCACGCCUUAGGCGGCCGAGAACGCGGGAGGACCCGGGUUCAAGUCCCGGCCGGUCCACCA
rnacentral:tRNA from 1 species